rnacentral:rRNA from 1 species
CGUAGGAUCCGAGCGUUGUCCGGAUUUACUGGGUGUAAAGGGUGCGCAGGCGGACUGGUAAGUCAGUGGUGAAAUCUCGUCGCUUAACGACGAAACUGCCUUUGAUACUAUCAGUCUUGAGUCCGGUAGAGAUCUGUGGAAUUCCGAGUGUAGCAGUGAAAUGUGUAGAUAUUCGGAAGAACACCAGUGGCGAAGGCAGCAGAUUGGGCCGGUACUGACGCUCACGCACGAAAGCGUGGGGAUCAAACAGGAUUAGAUACCCUGGUAGUCCACGCCCUAAACGAUGUACACUUGAUGUCGGCCUGUAAGGGUCGGUGUCGGAGCUAACGCGUUAAGUGUACCACCUGGGGAGUACGCUCGCAAGGGUG